UNUUGCAUCCAGCAUCUUACUGCCAUCGUCA
rnacentral:piRNA from 1 species